GCUUAUCACCAUUCCAGAUUGAAUAUACCCGUUCUCGUCUGAUCUCGGAAGUCAAGCAAUCUCGAGCUUGGUUAGUACUUAGAUGGGUGACCGCUUGGGAAUACCAAGUGUGAUAAGCA
rnacentral:rRNA from 1 species